GUCAGGAUGGCCGAGCGGACUAAGGCGCUGUGUUCAGGUCGCAGUCUCCAAUGGAGGCGUGGGUUCAAAUCCCACUUGUGACA
rnacentral:tRNA from 1 species